AUUGAAACUUAAAUAUUUUGGCGGUAUUUUAGUUUAUUUAGAGGAAUCUGUUUAUUAAUUGAUAUUCCACGAGUAAAUUUACUUAAUUUAUUAUUUUGUAUAUCGUUGUUAAAAAAAUAUUUUUUAAUAAUUAUAAUAUUUUAUAUUUAAUAUUAAAAAAUUAAAUCAAAUCAAGAUGCAGAUUAUAAUUAAGAAUAUAAUGGAUUACAAUAAAUUUAUUUAAAUGAAUUUUAAUUUUUAAAAAUUAGAUGAAGGUGGAUUUAAAUGUAAAUUUAUUUAGUUUAAUAAAUUGAUUUU
rnacentral:rRNA from 1 species